UGAAGUUACUCUGAGCACUGAG
rnacentral:miRNA from 1 species